rnacentral:rRNA from 1 species
UACGUAGGGGGCAAGCGUUGUCCGGAAUCAUUGGGCGUAAAGAGCGUGUAGGCGGCCCGGUAAGUCCGCUGUGAAAGUCGGGGGCUCAACCCUCGAAUGCCGGUGGAUACUGUCGGGCUAGAGUGCGGGAGAGGCGAGGUGGAAUUCCUGGUGUAGCGGUGAAAUGCGCAGAUAUCAGGAGGAACACCAAUGCGAAGGCAGCUCGCUGGAACGUUACUGACGCUGAGACGCGAAAGCGUGGGGAGCAAACAGG